UUGAAACAUUUGUUCCUGUAUGAUCACUGAAGUUAAGCAAUGUCGAACCUGGUCAAUACCUAGAUGGGUGGCCACUUGGGAAUACCACGUGCUGUAAG